rnacentral:rRNA from 1 species
AGCUUGGUCCUGACUUUAUUAUCAACUACAACUAAACUUACACAUGCAAGUAUCCGCGCCCCUGUGAGAAUGCCCUACAGUCUCCCUUAGUACGGAAACAAGGAGCUGGUAUCAGGCACAUAGAAAUAUAGCCCAUAACACCUUGCUUAGCCACACCCACAAGGGAACUCAGCAGUGAUAAAUAUUAAGCCAUAAGUGAAAACUUGACUUAGUUAAAGUAAAAAGAGCCGGUAAAACUCGUGCCAGCCACCGCGGUUAUACGAGGGGCUCAGGUUGAUAAUUCACGGCGUAAAGGGUGGUUAAAAUAUUACUAAACUAAGGUCGAAAAUUUUCACAGCUGUUAUACGCAUUUGAAAAUAAAAAGCACAACUACGAAAGUGGCCUUAUAUUAUUGAACCCACGAAAGCCAAGACACC